rnacentral:rRNA from 1 species
CUAUACAUGCAAGUCGAGCGGACCGACGGGAGCUUGCUCCCUUAGGUCAGCGGCGGACGGGUGAGUAACACGUGGGUAACCUGCCUGUAAGACUGGGAUAACUCCGGGAAACCGGGGCUAAUACCGGAUGCUUGAUUGAACCGCAUGGUUCAAUCAUAAAAGGUGGCUUUUAGCUACCACUUACAGAUGGACCCGCGGCGCAAUAGCUAGUUGGUGAGGUAACGGCUCACCAAGGCGACGAUGCGUAGCCGACCUGAGAGGGUGAUCGGCCACACUGGGACUGAAACACGGCCCAGACUCCUACGGGAGGCAGCAGUAGGGAAUCUUCCGCAAUGGACGAAAGUCUGACGGAACAACGCCGCGUGAGUGAUGAAGGUUUUCGGAUCGUAAAACUCUGUUGUUAGGGAAGAACAAGUACCGUUCGAAUAGGGCGGUACCUUGACGGUACCUAACCAGAAAGCCACGGCUAACUACCUGCCAGCAGCCGCGGUAAUACNUAGGUGGCAAGCGUUGUCCGGAAUUAUUGGGCGUAAAGCGCGCGCAGGCGGUUUCUUAAGUCUGAUGUGAAAGCCCCCGGCUCAACCGGGGAGGGUCAUUGGAAACUGGGGAACUUGAGUGCAGAAGAAGAGAGUGGAAUUCCACGUGUAGCGGUGAAAUGCGUAGAGAUGUGGAGGAACACCAGUGGCGAAAGCGACUCUCUGGUCUGUAACUGACGCUGAAGCGCGAAAGCGUGGGGAGCGAACAGGAUUAGAUACCCUGGUAGUCCACGCCGUAAACGAUGAGUGCUAAGUGUUAGAGGGUUUCCGCCCUUUAGUGCUGCAGCAAACGCAUUAAGCACUCCGCCUGGGGAGUACGGUCGCAAGACUGAAACUCAAAGGAAUUGACGGGGGCCCGCACAAGCGGUGGAGCAUGUGGUUUAAUUCGAAGCAACGCGAAAAACCUUACCAGGUCUUGACAUCUUCUGACAACCCUAGAGAUAGGGCUUCCCC